GGGCCCGUAGCUCAGCCUGGUAGAGCGGCGGGCUCUUAACCCGUAGGACCCGGGUUCAAAUCCCGGCGGGCCCG
rnacentral:tRNA from 1 species